AUUGAACGCUGGCGGCAGGCCUAACACAUGCAAGUCGAGCGGAUGAAGGGAGCUUGCUCCUGGAUUCAGCGGCGGACGGGUGAGUAAAGCCUAGGAAUCUGCCUGGUUGUGGGUGAUAACGUCCGGAAACGGGCGCUCAUACCGCAUACUUCCUGAGGGAGAAAGUGGGGGGUCUUCGGAACUCUCGCUAUCAUAUGAACCUAGGUCGGUUUAGCUAGUUGGUGGGUUGAGGGCCUACCAAGGCGAGGAUUCGUAACUGGUCUGAGAGGAUGAUAAGUCACAUUAGAACGGAGACAGGGUCAAGGCUACUGAGGGAGGCAGCAGUGGGGAAUAGUGGACAAUGGGCGAGAGUAUGAUACAGUGAGGCGGCGUGUGAGAAGAAGGUCUUCGGAUUGGAAAGCACGUCUAGUGGGGAGGAACCGCAGUAGGCUGAGACCUAGCGGGAGUGACGGUAAUAAGAGAAUAAGCACCGGCUAACUUCGUG
rnacentral:rRNA from 1 species